rnacentral:rRNA from 1 species
GCUUUACUGUAGCCUGGAAUUGAAUUUGGGUUUAUUUUGCGCAGUAUAGGUGGGAAGCUAUGAUAAUAGGCUCGUGGGUCUAUUAGAGCUAACAGUGAGAUACCACCCCUAAUAAACUAGAGUUCUAACUUUGAUAGUCGUUAACCGGCCAAAGAACAGUUUCAGGUGGGCAGUUUGACUGGGGCGGUCGCCUCCUAAAAGGUAACGGAGGCGUGCAAAGGUUCCCUCAGGCUGGUCAGAAAUCAGUCUUAGAGUAUAAAGGCAUAAGGGAGCUUGACUGCAAGACUUACAAGUCGAGCAGAGACGAAAGUCGGCCUUAGUGAUCCGACAGUGCUGAGUGGAAAGGCUGUCGCUCAACGGAUAAAAGUUAC